GAUGAAGAACGCAGCGAAAUGCGAUAAGUAAUGUGAAUUGCAGAAUUCCGUGAAUCAUCGAGUCUUUGAACGCACAUUGCGCCCCCUGGUAUUCCGGGGGGCAUGCCUGUCCGAGCGUCAUUGCUGCCCAUCAAGCACGGCUUGUGUGUUGGGUCGUCGUCCCCUCUCCGGGGGGGACGGGCCCCAAAGGCAGCGGCGGCACCGCGUCCGAUCCUCGAGCGUAAGGGGCUUUGUCACCCGCUCUGUAGGCCCGGCCGGCGCUUGCCGAACGCAAAUCAAUCUUUUUCCAGGUUGACCUCGGAUCAGGUAGGGAUACCCGCUGAACUUAAGCAUAUCAAUAAGCGGAGGA
rnacentral:misc_RNA from 1 species